rnacentral:rRNA from 1 species
UACGUAGGGCGCAAGCGUUAUCCGGAAUUUGAUUGGGCGUAAAGAGCUCGUAGGCGGUUUGUCGCGUCUGCCGUGAAAGUCCGGGCUCAACUCCGGAUCUGCGGUGGGUACGGGCAGACUAGAGUGAUGUAGGGGAGACUGGAAUUCCUGGUGUAGCGGUGAAAUGCGCAGAUAUCAGGAGGAACACCGAUGGCGAAGGCAGGUCUCUGGGCCGAUACUGACGCUGAGGAGCGAAAGCGUGGGAGCGAACAGG